AGAGUUUGAUCCUGGCUCAGAUUGAACGCUGGCGGCAUGCCUUACACAUGCAAGUCGAACGGCAGCACGGGGCAACCUGGUGGCGAGUGGCGAACGGGUGAGUAAUGCAUCGGAACGUGCCAUUGAGUGGGGGAUAAUGUAGCGAAAGUUGCGCUAAUACCGCAUAUUCUGUGAGCAGGAAAGCAGGGGACCGCAAGGCCUUGCGCUCUUUGAGCGGCCGAUGUCAGAUUAGCUAGUUGGUGAGGUAACGGCUUACCAAGGCGACGAUCUGUAGCGGGUCUGAGAGGAUGAUCCGCCACACUGGAACUGAGACACGGUCCAGACUCCUACGGGAGGCAGCAGUGGGGAAUUUUGGACAAUGGGGGCAACCCUGAUCCAGCCAUGCCGCGUGAGUGAAGAAGGCCUUCGGGUUGUAAAGCUCUUUCGGCCGGGAAGAAAUCGCAUGGGCCAAUACCCUGUGUGGAUGACGGUACCGGAAUAAGAAGCACCGGCUAACUACGUGCCAGCAGCCGCGGUAAUACGUAGGGUGCGAGCGUUAAUCGGAAUUACUGGGCGUAAAGCGUGCGCAGGCGGUUUUGUAAGACAGGCGUGAAAUCCCCGGGCUCAACCUGGGAACUGCGUUUGUGACUGCAAGGCUAGAGUACGGCAGAGGGGGGUGGAAUUCCACGUGUAGCAGUGAAAUGCGUAGAGAUGUGGAGGAACACCAAUGGCGAAGGCAGCCCCCUGGGUCGAUACUGACGCUCAUGCACGAAAGCGUGGGUAGCAAACAGGAUUAGAUACCCUGGUAGUCCACGCCCUAAACUAUGUCAACUAGGUGUUGGGUGGGUAAAACCAUUUAGUACCGUAGCUAACGCGUGAAGUUGACCGCCUGGGGAGUACGGCCGCAAGGUUAAAACUCAAAGGAAUUGACGGGGACCCGCACAAGCGGUGGAUGAUGUGGAUUAAUUCGAUGCAACGCGAAAAACCUUACCUACCCUUGACAUGCCAGGAACUUGCCAGAGAUGGCUUGGUGCCCGAAAGGGAGCCUGGACACAGGUGCUGCAUGGCUGUCGUCAGCUCGUGUCGUGAGAUGUUGGGUUAAGUCCCGCAACGAGCGCAACCCUUGUCGUUAAUUGCCAUCAUUUAGUUGGGCACUUUAGCGAGACUGCCGGUGAUAAGCCGGAGGAAGGUGUGGAUGACGUCAAGUCCUCAUGCCCCUUACGGGUUGGGCUACACACGUGCUACAAUGGUGGUGACAAUGGGUUAAUCCCCAAAAGCCAUCUCAGUUCGGAUUGGGGUCUGCAACUCGCCUGCAU
rnacentral:rRNA from 1 species